GUCAAGUCCUCAUGGCCCUUAUGGGCUGGGCUACACACGUGCUACAAUGGGGAGGACAAAGGGCUGCCACUUGGCGACAAGGAGCUAAUCCCAAAAACCUCUUCUCAGUUCAGAUUGCAGUCUGCAACUCGACUGCAUGAAGCUGGAAUCGCUAGUAAUCGUAUAUCAGCAAUGAUACGGUGAAUACGUUCCCGGACCUU
rnacentral:rRNA from 1 species